rnacentral:rRNA from 1 species
AUUGAACGCUGGCGGCAUGCCUUACACAUGCAAGUCGAACGGUAACAGGUCUUCGGAUGCUGACGAGUGGCGAACGGGUGAGUAAUACAUCGGAACGUGCCCGAUCGUGGGGGAUAACGGAGCGAAAGCUUUGCUAAUACCGCAUACGAUCUACGGAUGAAAGCAGGGGACCGCAAGGCCUUGCGCGGACGGAGCGGCCGAUGGCAGAUUAGGUAGUUGGUGGGAUAAAAGCUUACCAAGCCGACGAUCUGUAGCUGGUCUGAGAGGACGACCAGCCACACUGGGACUGAGACACGGCCCAGACUCCUACGGGAGGCAGCAGUGGGGAACUUUGGACAAUGGGCGAAAGCCUGAUCCAGCCAUGCCGCGUGCAGGAUGAAGGCCUUCGGGUUGUAAACUGCUUUUGUACGGAACGAAAAGACUCUUUCUAAUAAAGAGGGUCCAUGACGGUACCGUAAGAAUAAGCACCGGCUAACUACGUG